rnacentral:rRNA from 1 species
UUAAAUGUAAUUAUUUUAAGCUAAGUGAUUAAUAGUUAAGUUCUUUAAAGCUAAAUAAUUUGGCGGUAUUUUAAUCUUUUCAGAGGAACCUGUUCUGUAAUUGAUAAUCCACGAUAGAAUUUACUUUAAUUAGAAAUUUUUAUAUCGUCGUUUUUAAAUAUUUUAAAAGAAGUUAAUAUUUAUAAUUUUUUAAUUAGAAAAUAAUUCAGAUCAAGGUGAAGUUUAUAUUAAAGAAGCAAUGGGUUACAUUAAAUUUUAUUUAUGGAUUUUUAAUUGAAAAAUUAGUUUGAAAUUGGAUUUGAAUGUAAUUAAUUUAACUUUUUUUUAAUGAUUUAGCACUAAAAUAUGC